rnacentral:rRNA from 1 species
CCUACGGGAGGCAGCAGUGAGGAAUAUUGGUCAAUGGACGAGAGUCUGAACCAGCCAAGUAGCGUGAAGGAUGACUGCCCUAUGGGUUGUAAACUUCUUUUAUAUGGGAAUAAAAUGUUCCACGUGUGGGAUUUUGUAUGUACCAUAUGAAUAAGGAUCGGCUAACUCCGUGCCAGCAGCCGCGGUAAUACGGAGGAUCCGAGCGUUAUCCGGAUUUAUUGGGUUUAAAGGGAGCGUAGGUGGAUUGUUAAGUCAGUUGUGAAAGUUUGCGGCUCAACCGUAAAAUUGCAGUUGAAACUGGCAGUCUUGAGUACAGUAGAGGUGGGCGGAAUUCGUGGUGUAGCGGUGAAAUGCUUAGAUAUCACGAAGAACUCCGAUUGCGAAGGCAGUUCACUGGACUUCAACUGACACUGAGGCUCGAAAGUGUGGGUAUCAAACAGGAUUAGAUACCCCAGUAGUC